CCUACGGGAGGCAGCAGUGGGGAAUCUUGCGCAAUGGGCGAAAGCCUGACGCAGCCAUGCCGCGUGAAUGAUGAAGGUCUUAGGAUUGUAAAAUUCUUUCAGUAGGGACGAUAAUGACGGUACCUACAGAAGAAGCCCCGGCUAACUUCGUGCCAGCAGCCGCGGUAAUACGAAGGGGGCGUAGCGUUGCUCGGAAUUACUGGGCGUAAAGGGAGCGUAGGCGGACAUUUAAGUCAGGGGUGAAAUCCCAGAGCUCAACUCUGGAACUGCCUUUGAUACUGGGUGUCUUGAGUGUGAGAGAGGUAUGUGGAACUCCGAGUGUAGAGGUGAAAUUCGUAGAUAUUCGGAAGAACACCAGUGGCGAAGGCGACAUACUGGCUCAUUACUGACGCUGAGGCUCGAAAGCGUGGGGAGCAAACAGGAUUAGAUACCCUGGUAGUCCACGCCGUAAACGAUGAUUGCUAGUUGUCGGGAUGUUUACAUCUCGGUGACGCAGCUAACGCAUUAAGCAAUCCGCCUGGGGAGUACGGUCGCAAGAUUAAAACUCAAGGAAUUGACGGCUGNGAGNGCGACGACGACGACGACGGAGGAGG
rnacentral:rRNA from 1 species